rfam:Spiroplasma poulsonii strain MSRO contig_01, whole genome shotgun sequence.
GGGGAUGUUCUGGUUUCGACAGGAAUGAUCUACUAGUAUCGGCAGUAGUUUGGCAGACUAUAAUGCUUCUGGGUUUGAAGAAACGCAAACAAAAAACAAAACGAAGACAAAGUUGAAAUUCCAGCAUUCAUGAUGAACAAUCAAUUUGCUGGUCAAUUUCAAGCGUUAGCAGUUUAAUUUCUCGUUGUUAGAGAAUAGCUAGCCGUAAUAAUAGUUAAUUGUAGGUUAUUAACCAUUAUCGUAUCUAAAUACUUAAUCUAAUAGAAAUUCUAAUUGAUAAUGUUAGGGUUUUGAAAACAACUUAUUAUCUAGUUAUUUAAUUAGUUGUCUAGUCCUACUAUUAAAUAAUGAAAGAAAGAUGAUUAGACUAAACUGUAGAAGAUAUUAGAAAGUUGUUUGUGGACGCGGGUUCAAUUCCCGCCAUCUCCACCA